GGUGUAGAAACUGUAUGUGACAAAUUAGCGUCGUGAUUGUCGUUGUACCCGCUCGGGUUACGGGCUCAUCGGAAUUAUACAUGUUUUGCAGGACCGGAGCUUCCUGAUGUUCCAGUGAAGAAUCUUCCCGGAAGGGAGUAUGGUGUUCACGAAAGGAGACCUCCUCAGCUCUGCACAGAUCUACUGACUACCCCAGGCCUCUGUACAGUGGUUAUGUGUUUUUUCCAAGAGACUUGGUCUUCUGAACAGUCCUGGUUUUCCCUUGAAGGCAAGAAGGAUGCCAUUUUGCAGAGAAGUGCAGGGAGAAGGAGUGAUUUUCUCUGGACAUCUGUGAUCCCACCACGUGAACUCCAGACCACUCCAGUGAAGCGCGGUUCUACAAGGAGGGAUAAGUAACAUCUCACAGAUCAUGGCCCAUAGCCUUAGAAAGGAUUCAACACCAGUCAGCGACUGAUACGUGUACAUCGCUUAACUAGAAAACACUUUGCUCCAAUCCCAAAUUCACAAAUUCAGCUGCUGUAUUAAAUCAAGAAUGAACUUCAUUAUGAUGGAGAAACAACCAGAAGGUAGGAUCAAAUCUACAGACAAUACAAAAGUGAGAACUUCUUCCCUGUUUAAAAAUUCUUACAUUUAAAAAAUAAGCUUAAU